GCCCCUGUAGCAUAGCCUGGUAGUGCUAAAUGGUUAACAUCUGCAAAAGUGAGUGUUAAUGUUAGGCACUAGGUAAAUAGUGCGUCCGGUUGCGGACCGGGAGCUCGCGAGUUCAAAUCUCGUCAGGGGCG
rnacentral:tRNA from 1 species